UACUAGAGUAGCACUCGCAUAUCAAUAAGCGGAGGAAAAGAAACUAACAAGGAUUCCCCUAGUAACGGCGAGUGAAGCGGGAAGAGCUCAAAUUUGAAAUCUUAAAGGGUUUCCCUUUACGAAUUGUAGUUUAAAGAAGUGUUUUCUGUUGAGGUUUUGGUAAAAGUUCUUUGGAAUAGGACAUCAUAGAGGGUGAGAAUCCCGUAUUUGACCUUUACUUUCAACUUUGUGAUACACUUUCAAAGAGUCGGAUUGUUUGGGAAUGCAGUCCAAAAUGGGUGGUAAAUUUCAUCUAAAGCUAAAUAUUGGCGAGAGACUGAUAGCGAACAAGUACCGUGAGGGAAAGAUGAAAAGAACUUUGAAAAGAGAGUUAAACAGUACGUGAAAUUGUCAAAAGGGAGGCGUUUGACACCAGUGUUGUUUUUCUGAAAAUCAAUUAAAGAACUGUUUAUGCUAAGUUGUUUAGACUUUAUCAGCUAACUGUUUAGUUUUGAGCUUUUCUUUAAUGCACUUUUCAGUUAACAAGUCAACAUCAAUUUCUUUUGCUGUAAAAAAGCUUGAGGAAGGUGGCUUGAGAUUCGUCUUAAGUGUUUAUAGCCUCUUGCCUAUGCAGUCGGAGAGAUUAAGGUCUGCAGCGUAGAUCCUUCGGGGCUAAAUGCAUUUGUGCUAAGUUAUAGCAUUUUAUAGACAACUUGUUGACUAUGAUUUGUCUUGUAGCUUACCCGCUUAUGUUAUUUUACCUACGCUUAGGAUGUUGAGCGCAUGUCUCUCUCU
rnacentral:rRNA from 1 species